AAGUCGUAACAAGGUUUCCGUAGGUGAACCUGCGGAAGGAUCAUUAACGAGUUUUGACAUGGGUUGUCGCUGGCCUUCUUUUUUUGGAGGCAUGUGCACGCCCUGCUCAUCCACUCUACACCUGUGCACUUAUUGUGGGUUUCAGGCGCGUCGCGGGCCUCCGUGCUCGAGGCGUUACUGGGCCUACGUUUUCACUACAAACUAUUGAAGUAACAGAAUGUGUGUAUAGAUGUAUAACGCAUCAGUAAUACAACUUUCAGCAACGGAUCUCUUGGCUCUCGCAUCGAUGAAGAACGCAGCGAAAUGCGAUAAGUAAUGUGAAUUGCAGAAUUCAGUGAAUCAUCGAAUCUUUGAACGCACCUUGCGCUCCUUGGUAUUCCGAGGAGCAUGCCUGUUUGAGUGUCAUGAAAUUCUCAACCUAUGAAGCUUUUGUGGUUUUAUAGAGUUGGACUUGGAGGUUUUUGCUGGCUUCAUCCAAUGAAGCGUUGGCUCCUCUUAAAUGCAUUAGCUCAUUUCCUUGUGGAAUGGUUCUCGGUGUGAUAAAUGUCUAUGCCGUGGCCGUGAAGCGCUGUUGGGGCCCGAGCUUCUAAUUGUCUCUUUGUUGAGACAGCUUUGAAAAUGACCUCUGACCUCAAAUCAGGUAGGACUACCCGCUGAACUUAA
rnacentral:rRNA from 1 species